rnacentral:lncRNA from 10 species
GAAAUGGCUCACUCGCAAGAACGGGACCCGUGUGCCCGGGAGCGUGGACGGAGGACACGCAUCAGUACAAAAGGGCGGUGUGGGGCUUCUGCCACCCGCGGCCAGCCGCGAUGCGGAAGGGGAUUCUGACGGAGUCGUGGUCACACCAGCUGGCCCUGCGCAGCCCCAUGGGAAAUAGGCCUGGAAUUCCUGUCGGGAGGAGGCUGGGGGAAGGGGAGCCAGCAGGGAUUCCAGAGUUCCUGCCAUAGGCCGGCCUUUGGCCAUCAGGGAAAGCCCAGACUCUGGCCACAGAAUGGAGAAUUCGUUCCGUGACCUUACCAGGGAAGAAAGUGACCCCGAAAGACAGCAGUGUGCUUCCUUGUUGAAGGGGCACAUUCAUUUAUUAAUCCAAUGUCCAUUAAGGUCACUCUGCCAGGCAGGAUGUGGGGCUUAUGGCUGGUGCGUGUGGCUUUGUGGGGGGAGGGGUUGUGGCUGGUGAGGACACAAAGCUGACUGCCCUAGAGGAGCUCAGAGCCUCACUUCUGUUUUCUCUUCCCUCCCCACAGUCUGGGCAGGCGGUGGUCUGGCGUUAGACUGCCGGGAGUAGCACCCAGGGCUCUGCUCCUGUUCCCCGAGAAGGGCUGUUCUCACUUGUCCUCCAGCCUCCUACGGAGACUGCAGUUAGUGAUGCUGAAAGUGCCUCCCCUGUGGGGCUAGGAAUGAAAAGCUAUAGACACCUUUUUCUCUGAGAUCUUUGCAAACCCAGGCGCUUUAGAGGAAAGAACACUGGCCUGGGAGUUUAAAGACCUGUUCCCUAGUCUUGAUUCUGCUGUUGGCUUACUGUGUCACCUUGGGCAGGUCUCGUCAUCUUUGAUGUCUCACAGUUGCUUCAUCUGUUAAACAGGGAGCUCAGUGUCUGUUUGUCCAGCUUCUCAGAGUUGCUGUGCAGCUCGGAUGUGGCAUAGGAAACAGCAGACACAGGGAGAGGGCAGCAUAAGGCACUGUAGGGAGCAGUGGCCACAUUUUCUGGUGAGUCCUGUGGCAGGAAUGUUUGUGCAUUCAGCACUGGAGCAUUUACUCCCUGUCUGACACUGGGGUAGCUGCCAUGAGGGGGAUUCUAGUAUCAGAGUCCCUCCCUUCUGGAAGUUUCCAGGGCAACAAAGACAUAAGACAAACAUCCUUGAAAUGUUAUCUAAAAACCCAAGAUUGAAAUAAU